rnacentral:rRNA from 1 species
GACGAACGCUGGCGGCGUGCUUAACACAUGCAAGUCGAACGGAAAGGCCCUGCUUUUGUGGGGUGCUCGAGUGGCGAACGGGUGAGUAACACGUGAGUAACCUGCCCUUGACUUUGGGAUAACUUCAGGAAACUGGGGCUAAUACCGGAUAGGAGCUCCUGCUGCAUGGUGGGGGUUGGAAAGUUUCGGCGGUUGGGGAUGGACUCGCGGCUUAUCAGCUUGUUGGUGGGGUAGUGGCUUACCAAGGCUUUGACGGGUAGCCGGCCUGAGAGGGUGACCGGCCACAUUGGGACUGAGAUACGGCCCAGACUCCUACGGGAGGGAGCAGUGGGGAAUAUUGCACAAUGGGCGGAAGCCUGAUGCAGCAACGCCGCGUGCGGGAUGACGGCCUUCGGGUUGUAAACCGAUUUCGCCUGUGACGAAGCGUGAGUGACGGUAAUGGGUAAAGAAGCACCGGCUAACUACGUG